AGAGUUUGAUCCUGGCUCAGGACGAACGCUGGCGGCGUGCCUAAUACAUGCAAGUCGAACGAACUCUGGUAUUGAUUGGUGCUUGCAUCAUGAUUUACAUUUGAGUGAGUGGCGAACUGGUGAGUAACACGUGGGAAACCUGCCCAGAAGCGGGGGAUAACACCUGGAAACAGAUGCUAAUACCGCAUAACAACUUGGACCGCAUGGUCCGAGUUUGAAAGAUGGCUUCGGCUAUCACUUUUGGAUGGUCCCGCGGCGUAUUAGCUAGAUGGUGGGGUAACGGCUCACCAUGGCAAUGAUACGUAGCCGACCUGAGAGGGUAAUCGGCCACAUUGGGACUGAGACACGGCCCAAACUCCUACGGGAGGCAGCAGUAGGGAAUCUUCCACAAUGGACGAAAGUCUGAUGGAGCAACGCCGCGUGAGUGAAGAAGGGUUUCGGCUCGUAAAACUCUGUUGUUAAAGAAGAACAUAUCUGAGAGUAACUGUUCAGGUAUUGACGGUAUUUAACCAGAAAGCCACGGCUAACUACGUGCCAGCAGCCGCGGUAAUACGUAGGUGGCAAGCGUUGUCCGGAUUUAUUGGGCGUAAAGCGAGCGCAGGCGGUUUUUUAAGUCUGAUGUGAGAGCCUUCGGCUCAACCGAAGAAGUGCAUCGGAAACUGGGAAACUUGAGUGCAGAAGAGGACAGUGGAACUCCAUGUGUAGCGGUGAAAUGCGUAGAUAUAUGGAAGAACACCAGUGGCGAAGGCGGCUGUCUGGUCUGUAACUGACGCUGAGGCUCGAAAGUAUGGGUAGCAAACAGGAUUAGAUACCCUGGUAGUCCAUACCGUAAACGAUGAAUGCUAAGUGUUGGAGGGUUUCCGCCCUUCAGUGCUGCAGCUAACGCAUUAAGCAUUCCGCCUGGGGAGUACGGCCGCAAGGCUGAAACUCAAAGGAAUUGACGGGGGCCCGCACAAGCGGUGGAGCAUGUGGUUUAAUUCGAAGCUACGCGAAGAACCUUACCAGGUCUUGACAUACUAUGCAAAUCUAAGAGAUUAGACGUUCCCUUCGGGGACAUGGAUACAGGUGGUGCAUGGUUGUCGUCAGCUCGUGUCGUGAGAUGUUGGGUUAAGUCCCGCAACGAGCGCAACCCUUAUUAUCAGUUGCCAGCAUUAAGUUGGGCACUCUGGUGAGACUGCCGGUGACAAACCGGAGGAAGGUGGGGAUGACGUCAAAUCAUCAUGCCCCUUAUGACCUGGGCUACACACGUGCUACAAUGGAUGGUACAACGAGUUGCGAACUCGCGAGAGUAAGCUAAUCUCUUAAAGCCAUUCUCAGUUCGGAUUGUAGGCUGCAACUCGCCUACAUGAAGUCGGAAUCGCUAGUAAUCGCGGAUCAGCAUGCCGCGGUGAAUACGUUCCCGGGCCUUGUACACACCGCCCGUCACACCAUGAGAGUUUGUAACACCCAAAGUCGGUGGGGUAACCUUUUAGGAACCAGCCGCCUAAGGUGGGACAGAUGAUUAGGGUGAAGUCGUAACAAGGUAGCCGUAG
rnacentral:rRNA from 2 species